rnacentral:rRNA from 1 species
AGAGUUCGAUUCUGGCUCAGGAUGAACGCCGGCGGCAUGCCUAAGACAUGCAAGUCGAACGAGAUGUACCAAUGAAGAUUGAGUGCUUGCACAAAGUUGGAUUUGGAUUUGCAUCUAGUGGCAGACGGGUGAGUAACACGUGGGUAACCUACCCUGAAGACUGGGAUAACAGUUAGAAAUGACUGCUAAUACCGGAUGAUUCAUGAGAAGAUAACUUUUCAUGCUAAAAGGAGCGUUUGCUUCACUUCAGGAUGGGCUUGCGGUGUAUUAGCUAGUUGGUGGGGUAAUGGCUCACCAAGGCAACGAUGCAUAUCCGAGCUGAGAGGCUGAUCGGACACACUGGGACUGAGACACGGCCCAG